rnacentral:rRNA from 1 species
GCACAAGCGGUGAUGAUGUGGAUUAAUUCGAUGCAACGACGAAAACCUUACCUACCCUUGACAUGUCCGGAAUCCCGAAGAGAUUUGGGAGUGCUCGCAAGAGAGCCGGAACACAGGUGCUGCAUGGCUGUCGUCAGCUCGUGUCGUGAGAUGUUGGGUUAAGUCCCGCAACGAGCGCAACCCUUGUCAUUAGUUGCCAUCAUUUGGUUGGGCACUCUAAUGAGACUGCCGGUGACAAACCGGAGGAAGGUGGGGAUGACGUCAAGUCCUCAUGGCCCUUAUGGGUAGGGCUUCACACGUCAUACAAUGGUCGGUACAGAGGGUUGCCAACCCGCGAGGGGGAGCUAAUCCCACAAAGCCGAUCGUAGUCCGGAUCGCAGUCUGCAACUCGACUGCGUGAAGUCGGAAUCGCUAGUAAUCGUGGAUCAGCAUGUCACGGUGAAUACGUUCCCGGGCCUU